UUGUCAAAAUAUCCCCCACUAAUUUGAAAUUAGUUUGUUGUCUAAUCUAAAAUACUCUAAAAUAACCUCUGUCUCUGAGCAGGGCUUGGCCUGCUAAAGUCACAGCUCUGCUCUGGAGGGAAUGAGUCCUCAGAGAAGAGCAGGGACAGGACUGAUGUCAUUCACAACAUUUUUCCCUGGCUGCCUGGAGCCUGAUAGCUGGUUCCAGCUCUUCUACCUUCAGCAGGGAUCAGUGGGAAUCUCAGCAGGAGGUUUAAACACCCCCAUCUGUCUCCCAGCAAAGGUCUGCUGUUGUGUGUUCACAUCUCCUUCACACUUUCCCUGCUCCUGCAUUUUCUCCAAGAUCUUUUCUCCUCCUCUUUUGAGGAAGAUGCCAGAGUGACAGUAACAAAAGCUGGAACUUUUGUUAAAAGGUAACUAGGUCCACAGAUGAGGCUCUGCAGGAAUGGUUCAAGAUGCAGCUUCUCCCAGCUCAGAUGCAUUACACAGACUUGCAGGCUGCUGCUGAGGUAAAUCCUUUUCUUAUUUUCUCCCCCUCAACAGCAGAAUUCAAAGCUCUUCUAAUUGCAGGUGACCUUGGGUGGUUCUUCCUAGAGAAAUUAAGUGGACAAAUUAAAAUGCAGCUUUCAUGGCAUUUUCACUGACACCUCUUGUGCCUGGAGGUCAAAUGUUUUCACUUAUUUAUGGAACUUGGCAUUGUUAUCCUGAAGUAGAAUUUGGUGGUGGUUGUUGUUGUU